rnacentral:rRNA from 1 species
UACGUAGGGUGCAAGCGUUAUCCGGAAUUAUUGGGCGUAAAGAGCUCGUAGGCGGUUUGUCGCGUCUGCUGUGAAAACUGGAGGCUCAACCUCCAGCCUGCAGUGGGUACGGGCAGACUAGAGUGCGGUAGGGGAGAUUGGAAUUCCUGGUGUAGCGGUGGAAUGCGCAGAUAUCAGGAGGAAUACCAAUAGCGAAGGCAGCUCGCUGGGACGUUACUGACACUAAGGCGCGAAAGCGUGGGGAGCGAACAGG